UACGUAGGGGGGCAAGCGUUGUCCGGAUUUAUUGGGCGUAAAGAGCGUGUAGGCGGCCAGGUAGGUCAGCUGUGAAAAACUCGAGGCUCAACCUCGAGACGUCGGUUGAAACCAUCUGGCUAGAGUCCGGAAGAGGAGAGUGGAAUUCCCGGGUGUAGCGGUGAAUGCGCAGAUAUCGGGAAGAACACCCGUGGCGAAGGCGGCUCUCUGGGACGGUACUGACGCUGAGACGGCGAAAGCGUGG
rnacentral:rRNA from 1 species